AUUAUUUGUGUCAUUUGAAACUUAUUUGUUACAGCGGAAUUGUGUUUCACGAUUCUUUUGAUAUCUUAUUUUAUUUUUUGACCUUUUUUUUAUUUUUUGAAAAAUUUAAACAUAAAAAUAAAUUUUUUUAAAUUGAAAACUAUUGUUUUGGCAUUUGUAACUAGUUUAGGCAAGUGGAAUUGCGUUUGGUGGGAUUUUUUAUAUUUUAUUUCAUUUCCUAUUUAGUUACGAUUCAAAAAGAAUUUCUGUUUAAUUAUUUUUUCAGAAUUUUGGUAUAUAUAAAGAUAAUUACUUUUUUGAAAACUGUUUUUUUAUAUUUUGAACUCAUCAGUACAAGCGGAGUUGUGUUUAAUGACUUUUUCAUAUUUGUUUUUAUCUUUCCUAUUUAAUUAUUUUUUCUCAAAAUUUGAACAUAUAAAAACUAUUUUUUUUAUUCGCAACUAUUAUUUUUUACAUUUGAAACUCAAUCGUGAAAGUGGAAUUGUGUUUGACGGUUUUCAUAUUUUCUUUUAUUUUGUCGUAUUUAAUUAUUUUUCGAAAUUUUAGACAGAGAAAAGAAUCAAUAUUUUAAUCAAAACUAUUAUAUUUGACAUUUCAAACUAAUUUGUGCAAGCGAAAAAUUGUAUGUGGUAGUUUUUAUAUUGCUAUUUAUUUAAUUUCCUAUUUAAUUAAUUUUUAGAAAAUUUUGAUACUUCAAAAUAAUUUUUUUUGGACAAAAGGUCUAGUGGACCCUUGUACUUGUAUAUGAUUGUAUCAUGGACACUUCUACUUACCCUUUUGUCAUCUAAACCCAUGAACCCAUUCAAAAUCGAAUAUUUUAAACACUUUUUGUGUUGUGGCAUGACGCGUGUUGCACGAAUCACAUACAUGUUGUCCAAAAAGAAAAAAAAUCAUAAUUCACGUAUGAUAUUGAAAUUCAUGUGUAAAUCUGUCAACUAAGAAUAGUCCAUACUCGGCAAAAACUUCAAAACCUUCGCGAGUUUUCUACUACACCUCUUCUUCUGUUCUCCUCUUCUCCUUAUCUCCUCUCCGUGAUUUCUCCACUAAGAAUCGUUUGUGAUAUUCCAUAGCUUUGCUCAGUUGAAGCUCAGUUCCACUCCGAUUAUCGUUGUCCAAGUGCAGUUCAAAGAGCAGGUCUAAGGGCAGGUUGUACUCCAUGUGAAGGUCCAAGAGUAGGUAUAAGUGUAGGUUGCAAUCCAAGUGCAACUCCAAUUGCAAGUUGCACUCCAUGUGUAGGUCCAAGUGCAGGUUGUACUCCAAGUGCAGGUCCAAGUUCAUGUUGCACUCAACAAUUAACUUCUAGUGCAGUUGGCCAAAAAACAAAAUACUAGCACAACUUUGAGAGGUGGUGCAUCUCUUACCUAUAAGAAACUAAGACCAAAAAAAGUAAAGACAGUUGGUUCUGGUCUCUUAUUUGGAUCAGGUGGAAGUUUAACGGAGAGGUCUGGAAAUACUGACAGGGUAUUACAUAUUUCUACAUUGAUAAGUUCAACUCCUACCAAUAUUGAUCUUAGUUAUAAACCUAUGGACAAAGGUGAAAGGGAAGAACUGCAAUUAAUCAAAGACAACUAUGAGAGGAGAGUUAGAAAAGCACUCAAGGCACACCAAACAUUCAAGGCACACCAAACAGUCAAGGCACACAUUAGAUUUCACUUUGUUUAGCCUAAUGGCCUGAACCCAACCAACUUUAUUUUGAUUUAUUACUUGAUCUCAACUGUGUUUGGUUGUACUGUUUUAUAUAUGAAUUUGUGUUAAGUUGCUAUUGGAAAAACUUUGG